AAGCCAUUCAUCGGACAUUUUCGAAUUGAAUCUUUAAAUUGUUCCCAAGCUUCAUAUGAUGUUUCUUCCUCUAACUGUCGAAAAGACAUGAUGUCAUUUCUAAGCUU
rfam:Gossypium arboreum cultivar AKA8401 contig_31749_1, whole genome shotgun sequence.